UUGCACGCUGGCGGCAUGCUUUACACAUGCAAGUCGCACGGUAACAGGCCUUCGGGUGCUGACGAGUGGCGAACGGGUGAGUAAUGCAUCGGAACGUGCCCAGAGGUGGGGGAUAACGCAGCGAAAGCUGUGCUAAUACCGCAUGUGAUCUGAGGAUGAAAGCGGGGGACCAGGCAGCAAUGUUUGGCCUCGCGCCUUUGGAGCGGCCGAUGUCAGAUUAGGUAGUUGGUGGGGUAAAGGCCUACCAAGCCGACGAUCUGUAGCUGGUCUGAGAGGACGACCAGCCACACUGGGACUGAGACACGGCCCAGACUCCUACGGGAGGCAGCAGUGGGGAAUUUUGGACAAUGGGCGCAAGCCUGAUCCAGCAAUGCCGCGUGCGGGAAGAAGGCCUUCGGGUUGUAAACCGCUUUUGUACGGAACGAAAAGGCUCUGGCUAAUACCUGGGGCUGAUGACGGUACCGUAAGAAUAAGCACCGGCUAACUACGUG
rnacentral:rRNA from 1 species